AUUGAACGCUGGCGGCAGGCUUAACACAUGCAAGUCGAGCGGAGUGAUGGUGCUUGCACUAUCACUCAGCGGCGGACGGGUGAGUAAUGCCUAGGAAUCUGCCUGGUAGUGGGGGACAACGUUUCGAAAGGAACGCUAAUACCGCAUACGUCCUACGGGAGAAAGCAGGGGACCUGCGGGCCUUGCGCUAUCAGAUGAGCCUAGGUCGGAUUAGCUAGUUGGUGGGGUAAUGGCUCACCAAGGCGACGAUCCGUAACUGGUCUGAGAGGAUGAUCAGUCACACUGGAACUGAGACACGGUCCAGACUCCUACGGGAGGCAGCAGUGGGGAAUAUUGGACAAUGGGCGAAAGCCUGAUCCAGCCAUGCCGCGUGUGUGAAGAAGGUCUUCGGAUUGUAAAGCACUUUAAGUUGGGAGGAAGGGCAGUAAGCUAAUACCUUGCUGUUUUGACGUUACCGACAGAAUAAGCACCGGCUAACUCUGUGCCAGCAGCCGCAGUAACAC
rnacentral:rRNA from 1 species